CCCGGUAAACGGCGGCCGUAACUAUAACGGUCCUAAGGUAGCGAAAUUCCUUGUCGGGUAAGUUCCGACCUGCACGAAUGGCGUAAUGAUGGCCAGGCUGUCUCCACCCGAGACUCAGUGAAAUUGAACUCGCUGUGAAGAUGCAGUGUACCCGCGGCAAGACGGAAAGACCCCGUGAACCUUUACUAUAGCUUGACACUGAACAUUGAGCCUUGAUGUGUAGGAUAGGUGGGAGGCUUUGAAGUGUGGACGCCAGUCUGCAUGGAGCCGACCUUGAAAUACCACCCUUUAAUGUUUGAUGUUCUAACGUUGACCCGUAAUCCGGGUUGCGGACAGUGUCUGGUGGGUAGUUUGACUGGGGCGGUCUCCUCCUAAAGAGUAACGGAGGAGCACGAAGGUUGGCUAAUCCUGGUCGGACAUCAGGAGGUUAGUGCAAUGGCAUAAGCCAGCUUGACUGCGAGCGUGACGGCGCGAGCAGGUGCGAAAGCAGGUCAUAGUGAUCCGGUGGUUCUGAAUGGAAGGGCCAUCGCUCAACGGAUAAAAGGUACUCCGGGGAUAACAGGCUGAUACCGCCCAAGAGUUCAUAUCGACGGCGGUGUUUGGCACCUCGAUGUCGGCUCAUCACAUCCUGGGGCUGAAGUAGGUCCCAAGGGUAUGGCUGUUCGCCAUUUAAAGUGGUACGCGAGCUGGGUUUAGAACGUCGUGAGACAGUUCGGUCCCUAUCUGCCGUGGGCGCUGGAGAACUGAGGGGGGCUGCUCCUAGUACGAGAGGACCGGAGUGGACGCAUCACUGGUGUUCGGGUUGUCAUGCCAAUGGCACUGCCCGGUAGCUAAAUGCGGAAGAGAUAAGUGCUGAAAGCAUCUAAGCACGAAACUUGCCCCGAGAUGAGUUCUCCCUGACUCCUUGAGAGUCCUGAAGGAACGUUGAAGACGACGACGUUGAUAGGCCGGGUGUGUAAGCGCAGCGAUGCGUUGAGCUAACCGGUACUAAUGAACCGUGAGG
rnacentral:rRNA from 1 species